rnacentral:rRNA from 1 species
CCUACGGGAGGCAGCAGUGGGGAAUAUUGGGCAAUGGGCGCAAGCCUGACCCAGCAACGCCGCGUGAAGGAAGAAGGCUUUCGGGUUGUAAACUUCUUUUGUCAGGGAAGAGUAGUAGACGGUACCUGACGAAUAAGCCACGGCUAACUACGUGCCAGCAGCCGCGGUAAUACGUAGGUGGCAAGCGUUGUCCGGAUUUACUGGGUGUAAAGGGCGUGUAGCCGGGUUGACAAGUCAGAUGUGAAAUCCUGCGGCUUAACCGCAGAACUGCAUUUGACACUGUUGAUCUUGAGUACUGUAGAGGCAGGCGGAAUUCCUAGUGUAGCGGUGAAAUGCGUAGAUAUUAGGAGGAACACCAGUGGCGAAGGCGGUCUGCUGAACAGCAACUGACGGUGAGGCGCGAAAGCGUGGGGAGCAAACAGGAUUAGAUACCCCAGUAGUC